rfam:Capnocytophaga sp. oral taxon 332 str. F0381 genomic scaffold Scfld574, whole genome shotgun sequence.
AAGGCGGAAACUGAAAAGCCUGUAACAGAGUAGGUA